AAGUACAGUGUACAUUUUUACUUUUUUUUUUUGUUUGUUUUCAGUGGGAUAUGUUUGAAAUACAGCAACAUUGUAGUGAGAAUGUGGAAUUUAACUUGAUGCACGAGGGUGGAGCCGUGAGAGCUAAUGAAGGAGCUGUAUCUAGCGAAGAUAAAGUCCCAAUCACCACAACGUUGGCUUCCAGCGCCUCCGUAAUCCUGCCCAGCCCUGCAUGGUGUCCACUGCUCUGCAGCUGUGCUGGUGCGACUGCUUCCAGGGCUGAAGCAUAAACUCUGUCUCUGCAAUGGUCUGGGUUAGAGACGAUGCAGUAAUGGUCUGCUUUAYGGUUGUGGAGAAUUGUAUUGGCAUGCCCAAGGGGAUGCUGAACUGCAGCGCAGGAGCAGGAGGGAACAGCCGCAGUGGGGGGAGGAAGGACCCUUUCUCAGCGGUCUCGCUGCUGAAGCCAGCGCGUCGCAUCCCGUACAGCCUUAGAGGAUAAAUUGUCAUAUAUUCUGAAUCGAGCGCUUAUUGUGUCCGAGGUUGUGCUCCAGAGUGCAUAUUUAAGCUAAGCGUCUGCCAAAUGUCUACUGACAUAGGCUUAAGUUUCCCUUUCACUGUGCUUUGUUGAGUAGGAGUGGACUCGAGUAGAAAUUUUGUGUUAUGUCAAAUUGGAACAAAAUGAAAACCACCUGACGCCCUGGUCUCUUCAGGCAUCUUCUAGGUAUGACAUUUGGGUAUGGCUGCCCAACCCUAAAUGUUGUGAGUAUAACUCAGUCUUUCUUCUUACAGUGCCUUUGGGUUGAAGAAAGUAUUUUAAUAUCCAUGCACCUCUAAUAAACUAAAGCUGUAACGAGGCCUUUUCUAUUUG
rnacentral:lncRNA from 1 species